UGGGAUAAAUACAAAACCUGGAAGUCUUGAACAUGCUGUGUGAGAAUACCACAGACCAGCUGUAUCCCCCAAGCCAAUGAAGGUGUUGCUCUCCAGUUCUGCCUAUGCUCUUAGUUGUGGCCUGGCUCAGAGCCACAUCCUGGCAAGCAGGAGACCUGCACAACCCCAUGCCAAAUCAGAGUCACCGGUCCUUACUUUCUGUGUCAAAGACCUGACUAUACUUGCAGGUUCCCUCAAGACAAGUAGAGAGUAACAAAUCCCCAAAGGCUCAGGCUGCCUCUGUUCUCCUGACACCAUCUUGAAGAUCUUGUUUUAGGACCUAAUCAGUUGCUUGGAAUCUCUGGUAAUCUGUUUGGUACAGGAAAUGAAAGAGACCCUGAACAUGGGGAAUCCAGCCUGGCUGCAAGAUGUGCCCAAGGAGCCAGUCUCUGUUGAACAGUACACAGCAGCUGUGCCCGUGUUUAUCAGAAACUCCAGGGAGCUGGAAGAGAGACUUCAGACCCAAUUGUGACUUCCCAAAGCUGAGAACAGGAGACCCCAUGAACAGCAAAAACACCACCUAAGAUGAUCACUAUGAAGCUGCUUGCCCCCUUCUGUCCUCACAGGGAAUCGUACAGCCCAGGCUCUUCUUGAAGAUGCUCUAAAGCUGAGGCUGGGCUUCAACACCCCAUCCUCCUGUGUCUACCUCCUGAGAGCUUGGAUUAGUGGCCACAGAGAAAGCACACAAAUGAAUGACUCCCCACAAAAAAGGAAGAAAAACAAUGAAGAAAUGUUUUGAAAAUGAAAA